AUGCAAUCUUAUGAAGAAAAACUUGAGUUAGAAGUUUCUAUCCCUAGAAAAAUUUAUGAUGAGUUGGAACCUACAAUAAAAAUUAAAAUUAAAGAUCAUGAGUGUUAUGCUUUGUGUGAUUUGGGUGCUUGUGUUUCCAUGAUUCCAAAAACUUUGUGUGAUUUGCUAGGUUUCCGUGAUUUAGUUGAUUGUUCUUUAAACUUGCAUCUUGCAGAUUCCACCAUUAAGAAACCUAUGGGAAGAAUUAAUGAUGUUUUUACUGUUGCAAAUAGGAAUUAUGUGCCUGUAGAUUUCAUUGUUCUUGAUAUAGAUAGCAAUCCUUCAUGUCCUAUUAUUCUUGGUAAACCUCUCCUUAGAACGAUUGGUGCAAUUAUUGAUAUGAAGGAAGGGAAUAUUAAAUUCCAAUUUUCAUUAAGUAAAGGCAUGGAACACUUCCCUAGAAAUAAAUUUAAAUUACCAUAUGAAUCUGUUAUGAGAGCCACUUAUGGAUUGCCUACCAAAGAUGUCAAUACCUAG
rnacentral:rRNA from 1 species